AUUAAGACGCCCAGCUUUUUCCUUGACACCACGGUCAAUUUUCUCUGUAUCCUCUCUUGCCCGAGCUAUGCAACAAUGUAGAAAAUAAAAAUAUACAUAUAAGUUUGCCAUACAAGGGUACAUACGAAUAAAAUCAUCUAUGAAGGUGCAAAAGCUCUUGAACCCGAAGAAGGAGGUAGAAGGAUGAGAAGUUCAACACAUGUAAAGACCAAGGAUAACUACAAUAUGUUAUCACCAUAAUUGACUGAUAUUGUUUUAUACUCCCUCCGUCCCUAAUUAUAAGCUAAAGUUGUAAAAAUCACGCUUAUUAAGAAAGGUUUAAUUGAUGCUUUGGUUUUUGAAAAAAAUGUGCAACUUUUCAUGUUUACCCCUAUUUAAGAUAGAACUUUUUAAUUAUUAUACUAUGAAUAGUGCUCCACUACCAAUAAAGGCAAGGGUAAAUAUGGAAAAAAAUAUUAGCUUUAACAACUUAAGCUUAUAUUUAGUGAAAAAACAUAAGUCUCAACUUUAGCUUAUAAUUAGGGACGGAGGGAGUACAUGAACUGAAUGGAGGUGUUAAAGAAUAAAAACUAAAUUGGGCAAACUAAACCAAACUGUGUUCAUUUACUUAGCUGUUUGAUUUGGUUUAGUUUAAAACAAAAUGCAUUAUUUGGUGAUUUGGUCUAUGGUUGGGAUAAACUGAACCAUAUGAACCAAACCAAAUCCCUUAAUCAUAUAUUAUAACAUAAUAUAUACACAUUUUAUAUACGACUGGGGUGACUUCACAAUGAUAUAAACCUUGAGAUACACACCAUCCAAAAUCUUCUCAUACAAAUUGAUUUUGAUCAAUCCAGGAAAGAUUAACAGUGAUUAUGCACUGAUAUUGCAUAAAAAAUUAAAUGAAAACAAGUAAACCAAAUGGUUUGUAUUUCCCUUUUUAUGAAAAGUACAUUACAUAAAGAGGAACCAAUGUUUUAAAACUCCCACCUUAGCAGGAUCUGGAAGCGUCAAACUUAUUACAGGUCUAUUGUAGGAAGUUUUACUUUGUAUUCACAAGAGACUAAUUCCAGAACCUGAAUAGAUUCAAGUUGGAGACACAUAGUACCAAAAUAACAACUUAAUUUAUUUUAUUAGCUUUUAACUCAAUGAAUAAUAGCUCCAGAAGACUGAAUUUCAAGUUUUUCUUCUAUAAUAUGUCAGUCAAAUACCUACUGUAUUACACAAGUAUGUCAUAGGUGUCCUAAAUAACAUGUUUAGGAGAUCAUGCCACUCCAAGAUGUGCCCACGGAAACCCAUGCUUAGUCUUACUAUAUAGCAUAACAUCUUACAUAUUUUUAUUUCUGUCCACCAAUGAGCCUAGUAAUAUGUUAAAUAAAAACACCUAACUUCAAUUUAAUUGAAAAAAAAAGAGGUAAAAUUUACAAUAGUUUGUAACAUUUUAUCUUUUUUUUUUUUCACUCUCCAACAAUCAACAAUAAAUGAUAACCAAUAACUUGGAGAGUACAUAAAUAGUGACAGAGAUAUGAGCAAAAUAUAAAAGAUAUAUAAGUAUCACAUGAUGCAAAUUUUAUCAGUACGAACUUCAUAUCAAACUAAACAGGAUUAUCAUCCUAAGGAUUAAAACUGAGAUUAAAGAUUAACAGAUACCUCUAAGGCCCCAUCACUCCAGUGCUCAUCAGCAGCACUCUUCAAUCUGGAUUUGGCUAUAUCCUUCAAGAUCUGCAGAGCAAAUAUUAUAAUAAAUAAAAUAAAUCAGCAUUAUACCUCCAACAUGUACCAGAAGUUUUGAAGAUUCUAGGUGAUACAUACAGUAGCAAUACGAUUAAGACGCCCAGCUUUUUCCUUGACACCACGGUCAAUUUUCUCUGUAUCCUCUCUUGCCCGAGCUAUGCAACAAUGUAGAAAAUAAAAAUAUACAUAUAAGUUUGCCAUACAAGGGUACAUACGAAUAAAAUCAUCUAUGAAGGUGCAAAAGCUCUUGAACCCGAAGAAGGAGGUAGAAGGAUGAGAAGUUCAACACAUGUAAAGACCAAGGAUAACUACAAUAUGUUAUCACCAUAAUUGACUGAUAUUGUUUUAUACUCCCUCCGUCCCUAAUUAUAAGCUAAAGUUGUAAAAAUCACGCUUAUUAAGAAAGGUUUAAUUGAUGCUUUGGUUUUUGAAAAAAAUGUGCAACUUUUCAUGUUUACCCCUAUUUAAGAUAGAACUUUUUAAUUAUUAUACUAUGAAUAGUGCUCCACUACCAAUAAAUGCAAGGGUAAAUAUGGAAAAAAAUAUUAGCUUUUACAACUUUAGCUUAUAUUUAGUGACAAAACAUAAGUCUCAACUUUAGCUUAUAAUUAGGGACGGAGGGAGUAAUAAUUUUAACAUUCCCUAUAUGCUCCAAAGGAAAGUAAACUACCUUGAUAUAAAAGAAAUAAUCUCAUCAAAAUGAAGAUGCUAAUUUUAAACAGUUACUAUAUCAUUUAACUUCUUUAUUUCUUCCAUGGGCUAAUGUGAGGAUAUCAUGGUCCAUGUUUGUGUGUGAAACACAGUGACUUGUAGUUGUAGUAUAUAUUUGAAAAGUUAGCUAACGAAAAUAAUUAUUUCAUUGGAAGAAAUAAGUAAUGCAAAGUUAAAAUACAAUAGCUCAUUAUUUAAACAAAGUAAAUGAGC
rnacentral:lncRNA from 1 species